GCCUGGGUGGCUCAGAGGUUGAGCAUCUGCCUUCGGCUCAGAUCCUGGGUUCAAGUCCCACAUCGGGCU
rnacentral:tRNA from 1 species